UCCCAGGGAAAUACUUCCGGGGCAUCAUCCCGCUCCCCGCGCUAGUUCCGGAAGUACCUUUUUUAGAUCGGACUGGGACUCAGAGGGGUUUCCAUGACUACGGGACCCCUCCGACUAGUACCCUGCAAAUGCUUGUCAGAAAUUGGCUUGGAGGCCGGGCGCGGUGGCUCACGCCUGUAAUCCCAGCACUUUGGGAGGCCAAGACGGGCGGAUCACGAGGUGAUCGAGACCAUCCUGGCUAACACGGUGAAACCCCGUCUCUACUAAUACAAAAAAACUAGCAGGGCGUGGUGGCGGACGCCUGUGGCCCCAGCUACUCAGGAGGCUGAGGCAGGAGAAUGGCGUGAACCCGGGAGGCGGAGCUUGUAGUGAGCCGAGGUCCUGCCACUGCACUCCAGCCUGAGCGACAGAGCCAGACUCCUUCUCAAAAAAAAGGCCGGGCGCGGUGGCUCACGCCUGUAAUCCCAGCACUUUGGGAGGCCGAGGCGGGCGGAUCACGAGGUCAGGAGAUCGAGACCAUCCUGGCUAACACGGUGAAACCCCGUCUCUGCUAAAAAUACAAAAAAUUAGCCGGGCGAGGUGGCAGGCGCCUGUAGUCCCAGCUAAUCGGGAGGCUGAGGCAGGAGAAUGGCUUGAAUCCCGGGGGGCGGAGCCUGCAGUGCCGAGAUCGCGCCACUGCACUCCAACCUGGGCGACAGCGAGACUCCGUCUCAAAAAAAAAAAAAAAAAAAGCAAACCAGGUAUGUGCGUUUAGAGGUGCUGUACAUUUUCAGCAUUAUAAAUGGAGAUGAGUGGCAAUAGUUACUUUGGUCCACAGAUUUUUGAUAACUAGUUUUGGAUCUCUUCCACUAAAGGGAUUGCCUGUUGAACGUUGUUAGGAAUGUAAACUGAAGGCAAACUGCCUGGGUUUGAAUUUUGUUCUGUCCCUUGCACCCUGCCUGGCUUCAAAUCCUAUCUCUGCUUAUUAAGUUCUUUUAAGGGGAUCAUCUUUGAGCAAAUGUCUUAGCUUCUGUUUUCCCAAGUAAAUGGACACAAUAGUUGCUACCUUGUGAAAGAUUCAUGUAAUUGACUAGCGUUUACCCAGUAGCAUCAGUGUUCAGUUUCAGUCAUUGGUGAUUCUGCAGUUGGACUGUGAGGGGGUGUUGGGAUGGAGGAAAAGAUACUUUUGAUAACCGAGAGGCCGCUUUUCUCUGCUUUUGUGUCAAAAAGGGAGAAGGGAGUUUGGAGACGGAAACGAAUUCUGUUCAAUACUAAGCUCUCUUCCUCAAAAUCAGAGGUUGAGACUGAGCUAAAAAUCUGUGGCGACGUUCUGGAUGUACUGGACAAACACCUCAUUCCAGCAGCUACCACUGGCAAGUCCAAGGUUUUCUAUUACGAAAUACAUUUCAUAUUAUUUUCCUUAUUAAAUAUAACCAAAGUCCCACAGAAAUUCACUGAGGAGCCUCUAAAUAUCAACAAAAUUAUCACUUGAAAGACUAGAAUUAAACAAGCAAAUGGUUCCAAGAAAUGGCACGAGUGUAUUAAUCAUAAAAUAAAAUUUCUGCAUGGAACAUUCAGCCAGCACUGUGCAAUGUGUGGCCGUUUGGGGGAUGGGAAUGAGAUAAGUCCCAUGAAAGCAAAAGAAUAUAAUUCCAUCAACUCAGCUGUCCUUUGGAGAGCCAUCCCCAGCAAACACCCUCAGCUAUGUGGCAUUCUGACUCCAGGGCUGGACGGACAUUGACCGAAGCCAGGCCAGCCUUCACUGUCAGUGCUGGAGAAGACAGGCCAACUUUCUGCUGGGGUUGCCAAGCUGGAAGGAUGCAUACCUGGAGCCCUGCGCUGCAGGAGCUUUUUGGUUGCUUGGACGAAUACUUUUCUUUUAAGGAAAACCACACUGAGUCACUUGCCAACACCCCACCAGCGAGAGAAAGCCACAUCCACACCUCUGGGGAAGAGGCCCCUGGCUGGUGACUCACUUACCAGCUCCCACUUUAUACAGGGCCCUUCCUCUGGAGUAACCCAGCGUGCGGCAGAAGACAGUGGCAUCAGAAUUGUGCCACUCAUCAUCGCAAAUGGUCCCUCAGGUACCACUGUAGUAAACUUCAGCCCGGCCUCGGUUAUUACUGCCGACAAUCCUGACGGACACUGCGUUUUCACCUGGGUGAAGAAACACACGUGGGAGAGGCGAGGAAGCCCCCUUGGGGCUUUGGAUCCUGUCAUGAGGAGAAAACCCACACGGUCUGAAAGAAACCCAGGCAGGAUGCCUUUGCCUGCAUUUGCAGGAGUGGGAAGCGGGUGGAGAGGUGGGGGUGGUCAGACUCUCCCUGGGUCUCGCCUGUGGCCUGGCAUUAUGGGGACGGGAUGUCCUGCGGGUGUCAAUGAUUGAACAGGAAGAAACGGGCCUGAGCUACAGCAAGAGGGGUUGAAGUUAGAUUGGUGAGGGACACUUGGUCUGGUCAGCAACAUAGAGUGGGAUGGGCUCAUCUCCUUCAUGGAAACCGUCUAGGGGCAUUGGGUCGUGGGGCAUGGCUCAAGUGCACGUUCAUGCCCCUGCCUCAGAUGCUACAGCUGCGCCUAACCCACUGCUGUGUGCUUCAUACCUAGGGCAACCCCCAGCGCAAGACUUGUCAAUUAAGGAAAUAAACCUUUACCCUCCUGGGUUCUGAAAACCCCCAAAACUCUUAAACAGGGCCUUUCCUAUUUUAAGGUAAAGAAUUGGCUGUAAAGCAUAGUCCUAAGAACCAAGGAAUCAGAUGCAGAGGCCUUACCUUUCACUCCCUGGUCUCCCUUCUGGCCAGCUGGUCCAGGGGCCCCCUUGGGGCCUGCCAGCCCCGGGCUCCCCUGUUCUCCCUUCACACCUGCAGGGCCUGGAAGGAGAGAUACUGCCCUGGUCAGGUGCCCUGCUUUGCCUUACCAAGAGAGACCCAAGGGCCUUGCUGUUUAAUAAAUGAGUUAUCCUUAACUGCCAGACCUCCCCCAUGGCUGGGCUAUCUGAAUUUCAGCCUGUUUGUGGUCCAUACGGGGUCUGCACUGAUCUCUCAACUCUUAGGAGUAGGGCUGUUGAGAGGCCUAGAAACACCCUGCAGCUGGUGCCAGCUCAGUACCCAACUGACGUACAGGCUCUGGAGGUGAGGAUAAGAAUAAGAAAGCCCGGCAACAGGCAGCGGGAGGCAGAGAGGAGAGGCUUGGGGGCCAAGAAGAAGAGGCAAAUGGGCCACAGCUGAGGUGGGGAAGCAGCAGCCGUGGAUGGAGCAGAAGGGACACAGCUCCCUGGCAGCUGCACAGCCUGGAGCCUCCGCCUGCACCCACAGCUCUCCUGACAUUUUUCCCCUUUGCCAUCCUCAGCCCCUGCCCCACAUGCUAUACCCCUCAGGAUGCUGAGUUCCUGUUGUUCCCAGGUUUUGCAGCAGAGAAAUCUGAGGCUUGAGUGACAGAGCCCUGGAGUCUUAACCUCUACUUUGGGAGAAGGUCACAGCUGUGCGUUCAAAGUCAACAAGACCUGCCCUCUGAGCAGGCAGGCCUUCCCCGUCAUCACUCCGAGGGAUGAAAAUGCAGCCAGCCCUUUACCUGGAACUCCUGAUUCUCCUUUUCUUCCUUGCUGUCCUUGAAGUCCUAAGAUCAAAACAAAAAAGAGGGGGGGAGAUCAUAAAACUUAGAUACUAGACAUUUUUAAUCUUAGACAACCUCUACCUUUUGUCUGAUUAAUGCAGAUGGAAAGAUACAUUGGUUCUCCACGUUUAAAGCCUCUUCAGCAGAUUGUAAAAAGAGAUCGUCUGCAGGUGAAUGAGAACAGGUGUGUUGGGGAUGAAACAGCAAAGUACUGGAUGAAAGCCUGGAUUAGGCAGACCCCAGAUGCACAGCUGGCCUUCCCUGCCCACCAGUAACCUGACCUGGCGUCUAAAUCCAAUCCCAUUCGCUGCCAUUGCAUUUAUAUUGGAAGAGAAUUGGGAGAUAUUUGGGAAGCUGCCUAUUUCAAACCCAGACUGCUGUGAACCUGUCAGGGACCUGGUGUUCUUCUACGCUGCUUGUACGCCACAGAAAAGGAAACAGGCUCAGCAAUGUCAAGUAGCUGAGCCUGUGGUUACCCAGCUAGUCAGGGGGUCUCACUCUUGCUCAGGCCGGAGUGCAGUGUGCAAUCACAGCUCAUUGCAGCCUCAAAUUCUUUGGCUCAAGUGAUCCUCCUCCUCCUCCUCCUUCAGCCUCCUGAGUAGCUGAGACUACAGAGUCUCACUCUGUUGCCCAGGCCAGAGUGCAGUGUGCAAUCAUAGCUCAUUGCAGCCUCAAAUUCUUUGGCUAAAGUGAUCUUCUUCCUCCUCCUCCUCCUUCAGCCUCCUGAGUAGCUGAGACUACAGGCCCACGGCUACUGGACCCCCGGGGCUCCCUGGACAUCCUGGACAACAGACACCACAGAGGGCAUAAGGGCUGGACUAGGCAGGUUUUCACACAUCACUCCCCAUGCCCACCGCAGGACCCAAGACCUCACCUGUUAGCCCAGAGGACCCAGCACUGCCAGGCUCGCCCUUGGCACCUGGGUGUCCCACUGCACCAGGAGGGCCUGGAACACCCUGCAGUCCAGGUUGUCCUGAAAGGAAAGUAGUGACUGCCAGGCUGUGGUGGUUGGCAGAGGGCCCGACUACCCCCACCCCUGGUGCUUCACUUCUCAGCAGUGAGACAUGUACUUCUUAACACCUUACAGUCCUCUUGGCAGCUUUAACGCCUCUCUUUAGAAGCCAUGAGCUAGCCCUCUUAGUAGGAGGAAAAUUAUUCUCAGCAAUUUACUAAUCCUGCCUCAGACUCCUGAGUAGCUGGAAUUACAGGUGCCCGCCACUAUGCCUAGCUAAUUUUAUAUUUUGAGUAGAGAUGGGGUUUCACCAUGUUGGUCAGGCUGGUCUCAAACUCCUGACCUUGUGAUCUGCCCACCUCAGCCUCCCAAAGUGCUAGGAUUACAGGUGUAAGCCACCACACCCGGCCUGCCUGGCUAAUUUUUUUUUUUUUUUUUGAGACGGAGAUUCACUUGCUCUUGUUGCCCAGGCUGGAGUGCAAUGACGUGAUCUCAGCUCACCACAACUUCCACCUCCCAGGUUCAAGUGAUUCUCCUGCCUCAGCCUCCCAAGUAGCUGGGAUUACAGGUAUGCGCCAUCACGCCCAGCUAAUUUUAUAUUUUUUAGUAGAGACGGGGUUUCUCCAUGUUGGUCAGGCUGGUCUCGAACUCCUGACCUCAGGUGAUUUGCCCGCCUUGGCCUCCCAAAAUGCUGAUAUUACAGGCACGAGCCACCAUGUCUGGCCUAAUUUUUGUAUUUUUAGUAGAGACUUUUUUGUAUUUUUGUAUUUUUAGUAGUAAAAGCAAAAGAAAUCUAUCUUUUGCUUUUAUUUCCUAUAUGGUUUACUGGCCAGUUCAUUCUGCCUGUAUUUUUAGUUUCCCCAUAUUAGCCAGGCUGGUCUCAAACUCCUGGCCUCAAGUGAUCCAACUGCCUCAGCCUCCCAAAGUGCUGGGAUUACAGAUGUGAGUCACCACUCCCCGGCCGAGGGUCCAAAUUUUCUAAGAAGCUGCUGCUAUGCUUCCUGUUCCGUACCCUUCUAAGAACAUUAGUGCUGGAUUGUUUAUUGUGAGUUUGAUUCAGUCCUCACCUAAAAUCCACUCCUGUGGUCUUGCAAUAACCUUUUGCCUAGAGGUCCAAGGUUACCAUAAGACCACAGGAGUGGGUUUUAAUGCAUUUCCUAAAAAUAAGGGUAUGCUACAUAACCAAAAAGACAUUACUGCAUGUAAGAAAAUUUUUAAAUUCCGUAUCAUUUAAUAGUCAGUCCCUUAUCAAGUUUCCUUAACUACUUCCAAAAUAUCUUUUAUAGCUAGUGUUUAAAAAUAAGGAUCUGAUGGGAGAUUGUGAAUGGGAGGUUUUUAUAAGCCAAGCCUCAAUGUAAUGUGAAUUACUUCUGCUCACAUUCUGCGCUAAAACACGGUCACAUGACUGCAACUUCACUACAAGGGAAGUAGGAAAUGUAGUUUAUCUGUGUGCCCACAGGGAAACAUGCAUUGUUGAACCAGGCCUUGUGUUUUACUAUAGAAGGUCAUAAGAGGGACAGUAAGAGGAGCAUAUUACGGUGGUAAACUAUGAUGGUUAUUGCUGGUCACUUCCCUAGUAUCCAUUUUUCACUCCUAAUAUUACCCCAAUUUUUGUACCCCAAGGGAACUGACACUGACUUUCAGUACAGCUGGAACAGGGAGUGGUGUGUUCUGAUUAGAUCUUAUAGGCUGUAAGUUGAAAGCCACUGUAGGUUCUGACAUGGUAAAAAUGAUUUUUUUUUUUUUUUUGAGAUGGAGUCUCACUCUUGCAGGCUGGAGUGCAGUGGCACGAUCUCAGCUCACUGCAACCUCAGCCCCCUGACUUCAAGCAAUUCUCCUGCCUCAGCCUCCCAAGUAGCCGGGAUUACAGGCGUGUGCCACCAUGCCUGGCUAGUUUUUGUAUUUUCGGUAGACACAGGGUUUUGCCAUGUUGGCCAGGGUGGGUCUUGUACUACUGACCUCAGGUGAUCUGCCCGCCUUGGCCUCCCAAAGUGCUGGGAUUACAGGCAUGAACCACUGCGCCUGGUCAAAAAUUAUUUUAAAAAAUAAACUAAUUGUGUGCAUUGUAGGAUGUUUAGCAAAAAAUGUAUAAAAAUAAAUAAAAAUAAAUAAUUAAACAAACUAAUCAACCAGGUGUAAUGGUUCAUGCCUGUAAUCCCAGCACUUUGAUUUUUCUUUUCUUUCUUUCAUUUUUUUGGGGGAGCCCUACCUCCUGCAAAUCCCAGCACUUUGGGAGGCUGAGGCAAGAGGAUUCCUUGCGCCCAGGAGUUCAAAACUAGCCUGGGCAACAAAGUGAGAGCCUCUCUCUACUAAAAAAAAAAAAAAAAAAAAUACAAAAAUUAGCUGAGUGUAAUGGCGUGUGCCUGUAGUCCUUGGGAGUCUGAGGCGGAAGGAUUGCUUGAGCUCAGAAUGCAAGACUGCAGUGUGCCAUGAUUGAGCCACUGCACUCCAACCUGGGCAACAGCGUGAGACCUGUCUCAAAAAAGAAGCAAGAAACAAAAAAACUUCCUAAUUAACGUUUAUGCCUAAAAUGCCUGUUAAAUGAAAUUUAUGGGAAGCCAUUGAUUUGGACUGAGCUCCUGCUCUAGGUCCCAACAGACAAGACCAAACCAGAAUAGAGUUACUUGUGCUAAGUGCCACAUAUCAAACUGAACUUUGAAAUGGGCCAGUUUUUCAAAAAAUAGGAAACUCACUGCAACCAAUUAGAAGGGGCCCAAUUUACUUGAGCUGUUGUGAUAAGGAAAUUCCCCCUGCUUUAACCCUAUAAGGAAAGUUCCUAUUUUUUUUUUUUUUUUUUAAUGAAGUUUCACUCUUGUUGCCCAGGCUGGAGUGCAGUGGUUCGAUCUUGGCUCACUGAAACCUCCGCCUCCUAGGUUCAAGCGAUUCUCCUGCCUCAGCCUCCCAAGUAGCUGGGAUUACAGAUGCCCACCACCAUGCCCAGAUAAUUUUUGUAUUUUUAGUAGAGACAGGGUUUCAUCAUGUUGGCCAGGCUGAUCUUGAACUCCUGACCUCAGGUGAUCCACCCACCUCAGCCUCCCAAAGUGCUGGGAUUACAGUCACAAGCCACCUCGUCUAGUAACUAGAUGAAAGUAACUUUGAAACAACCAGUUCGCUCCCCCAUCCCCUGUUUCUGCUUCUUCCACAUUUUUCUGCCUUUAAAGCCCAUCUCCUCUGCUCAGCCUAUGGGAGCACCUUUUCUGUGGCAUAGAUGAGCAGCUGCCUGAUUCAUGAAUCACUAAUAGAAGCCAAUUCAAUCUUUAAAUUAAAUUUGUUGAAAUUUUGCUUUUUUUUUUUUUUGAGACAGAGUCUCACUCUGUCACCCACGCUGGAGUGCAGUGGUGCAAUUUCGGCUUACUGCAACCUCCGCCUCCCAGGUUCAAGCAAUUCUUGUGCCUCAGCCUCCCGAGUAGCUGGGAUUACAGGCAUGCACUGCCACACCCAGCUAAUUUUUGUAUUUUAGUAGAGACGGGGUUUCUCUAGCCAGGUCUCUAACUCCUGGCCUCAAGCGAUCUGCCUGCCUCAACCUUUCAAAGUGCUGGGGUUACAGGCGUGAGCCACUGUGCCUGGCAGAAAUUUUGCUUUUUGACAUGACUUUAGAAUCUGAGGCAGAUGGUGUUCAUCUUAUACAAAGAGGCUGCCCCAAGAGAGUCCGUGAUUCAACCCCACCCCUGGACAUUCCACACUGCCUUGAGGAGUGAGGAUGUAGAUCAGAACUGUCUCCCACCAGGAACUAAUGGAUGAAGAAGUUAAGGGUGUGUUAUGGAGAAGGGAUUCCCCCCUUCCUGGAUCUGCCAGUUCCUGACUCUGUACCUUAGGCAAGUACUUCAUCCCUGCUUUCCAAUAUGUGGUCACCCUGAGAAGAAUGGAAAAGAUGUCUGUGUUAGGUGGCAGGUUUACUUUACCAAUCGUUACCUCUGAUUUUCCUCUCAGAGGCCAGUGGUGGAAGGUUGCAUUAUUAUUACAGCGUGCACCGCCACUUUCUGGAAGAGGACUGUCCUCCCUGCUCCAUUAGCAUCAUGCUCAGCCACAUGCUGUGGUUUAAAUGUGUUCCCUAAAGUUCACAUGUUGGAAACUUGAUCCCCAAUGUGACAGUAUUAGGAGGUCGGACCUUUAAGAAGUGAAGAGGCAUGAAGACUCUGCCUUCUUGAAUGGAUUGACAUUAUUAUCACAGGAGUGGGUUCCUUAUAAACAAAUGAGUUUGGUCUCCUCUUGCUGUCUCUUAUCCUCUCUUUGCCCUUUUGUCAUGGGAUGAUGCAGCAAGAAGCCUUGGGCUAGAUGCCAGCUCCUUAAUCUUGGACUUGCCACCCUCCAGAACCAUGAGCCAAUAAAUUUCUGUUCAUGAUAAGCUGCCCAGUCUGUGGAAUUCUGUUACAGCAGCACAAAAUGGACUAACACACCAUAUGACUUCCUCUGGCCAGUGCCUGUGUUAAAAAAGAUUCAGCCAGGCGCGGUGGUUCACACCUUUAAUACUAGCACUUUGGGAGGCCGAGGCAGGUGGAUUGCCUGAGCUCAGGAGUUCGAGACCAGCCCGGGCAACAUGGUGAAACCCCGUCUCUACUAAAAAUACAAAAAAUUAGCAGGGCGUGGUGGCGGGCACCUGUCGUCCCGGUUACUUGGGAGGCUGAGGCAGGAGAAUGGCGUGAACCCAGGAGGCGGAGCUUGCAGUGAGCCGAGAUCGCGCCACUGCACUCUAGCCUGGACGAAAGAGCGAGACUCCGUCUCAAAAAAAAAAAAAAAAAAAGAAA